rnacentral:misc_RNA from 1 species
AGCAGCCGCGGUAAUUCCAGCUCCAAUAGCGUAUAUUAAAGUUGUUGCAGUUAAAAAGCUCGUAGUUGAACUUCGGGGUUUACUCAUUGGUCAGGCUUAAUUGUCUGUACUGGUGAGAUGAAUCUCUACCUUCUGAGGAACUUUCAUGCCAUUUAUUUGGUGUGAUUGGAAAUCAGGACUGUUACUUUGAAAAAAUUAGAGUGUUUAAAGCAGGCUAACGUCUGAAUACAUUAGCAUGGAAUAAUGAAAUAGGACGGAUUGAUUCUAUUUCGUUGGUUUCUAGGGUCACCGUAAUGAUUAAUAGGGAUAGUUGGGGGCAUUAGUAUUCAAUUGUCAGAGGUGAAAUUCUUGGAUUUAUUGAAGACUAACUACUGCGAAAGCAUUUGCCAAGGAUGUUUUCAUUAAUCAAAACGAAAGUUAGGGGAUCGAAGACGAUCAGAUACCGUCGUAGUCUUAACCAUAAACUAUGCCGACUAGGGAUCGGAUGAUGUUAAUUUUUUUAAUGACUCAUUCGGCGCCU